rnacentral:rRNA from 1 species
GUACACAAAAGCGCAUAUGCUGUGAGCUCGAUGAGUAGGGCGGGACACGUGGUAUCCUGUCUGAAUAUGGGGGGACCAUCCUCCAAGGCUAAAUACUCCUGACUGACCGAUAGUGAACCAGUACCGUGAGGGAAAGGCGAAAAGAACCCCGGCGAGGGGAGUGAAAAAGAACCUGAAACCGUGUACGUACAAGCAGUGGGAGCCCCACCACUAAGCCAGUGGUGAACUCCACAUACGCAUCCUUUGCUGAGGAUACGGUUAACGGAGCGAAAGCGACGUUCAACCGCAAAAGAAGCAGAGGGGGCUUAGUGGUGGGGUGACUGCGUACCUUUUGUAUAAUGGGUCAGCGACUUAUAUUCUGUAGCAAGGUUAACCGAAUAGGGGAGCCGGAGGGAAACCGAGUCUUAACCGGGCGUUAAGUUGCAGGGUAUAGACCCGAAACCCGGUGAUCUAGCCAUGGGCAGGUUGAAGGUUGGGUAACACUAACUGGAGGACCGAACCGACUAAUGUUGAAAAAUUAGCGGAUGACCUGUGGCUGGGGGUGAAAGGCCAAUCAAACCGGGAGAUAGCUGGUUCUCCCCGAAAGCUAUUUAGGUAGCGCCUCGUGAACUCAUCUCCGGGGGUAGAGCACUGUUUCGGCUAGGGGGCCAUCCCGGCUUACCAACCCGAUGCAAACUGCGAAUACCGGAGAAUGUUAUCACGGGAGACACACGGCGGGUGCUAACGUCCGUCGUGAAGAGGGAAACAACCCAGACCGCCAGCUAAGGUCCCAAAGUCAUGGUUAAGUGGGAAACGAUGUGGGAAGGCCCAGACAGCCAGGAUGUUGGCUUAGAAGCAGCCAUCAUUUAAAGAAAGCGUAAUAGCUCACUGGUCGAGUCGGCCUGCGCGGAAGAUGUAACGGGGCUAAACCAUGCACCGAAGCUGCGGCAGCGACACUCAGGUGUUGUUGGGUAGGGGAGCGUUCUGUAAGCCUGCGAAGGUGGCCUGUGAGGGUUGCUGGAGGUAUCAGAAGUGCGAAUGCUGACAUAAGUAACGAUAAAGCGGGUGAAAAGCCCGCUCGCCGGAAGACCAAGGGUUCCUGUCCAACGUUAAUCGGGGCAGGGUGAGUCGACCCCUAAGGCGAGGCCGAAAGGCGUAGUCGAUGGGAAACGGGUUAAUAUUCCCGUACUUGGUGUUACUGCGAAGGGGGGACGGAGAAGGCUAUGUUGGCCGGGCGACGGUUGUCCCGGUUUAAGCGUGUAGGUGUGUGUUCCAGGUAAAUCCGGUUCACUUUAACACUGAGGCGUGAUGACGAGGCACUACGGUGCUGAAGCAACAAAUGCCCUGCUUCCAGGAAAAGCCUCUAAGCAUCAGGUAACAUCAAAUCGUACCCCAAACCGACACAGGUGGUCAGGUAGAGAAUACCAAGGCGCUUGAGAGAACUCGGGUGAAGGAACUAGGCAAAAUGGUGCCGUAACUUCGGGAGAAGGCACGCUGACACGUAGGUGAAGUGAUUUACUCAUGGAGCUGAAGUCAGUCGAAGAUACCAGCUGGCUGCAACUGUUUAUUAAAAACACAGCACUGUGCAAACACGAAAGUGGACGUAUACGGUGUGACGCCUGCCCGGUGCCGGAAGGUUAAUUGAUGGGGUCAGCGCAAGCGAAGCUCCUGAUCGAAGCCCCGGUAAACGGCGGCCGUAACUAUAACGGUCCUAAGGUAGCGAAAUUCCUUGUCGGGUAAGUUCCGACCUGCACGAAUGGCGUAAUGAUGGCCAGGCUGUCUCCACCCGAGACUCAGUGAAAUUGAACUCGCUGUGAAGAUGCAGUGUACCCGCGGCAAGACGGAAAGACCCCGUGAACCUUUACUAUAGCUUGACACUGAACAUUGAGCCUUGAUGUGUAGGAUAGGUGGGAGGCUUUGAAGUGUGGACGCCAGUCUGCAUGGAGCCGGCCUUGAAAUACCACCCUUUAAUGUUUGAUGUUCUAACGUGGACCCGUGAUCCGGGUUGCGGACAGUGUCUGGUGGGUAGUUUGACUGGGGCGGUCUCCUCCUAAAGAGUAACGGAGGAGCACGAAGGUUGGCUAAUCCUGGUCGGACAUCAGGAGGUUAGUGCAAUGGCAUAAGCCAGCUUGACUGCGAGCGUGACGGCGCGAGCAGGUGCGAAAGCAGGUCAUAGUGAUCCGGUGGUUCUGAAUGGAAGGGCCAUCGCUCAACGGAUAAAAGGUACUCCGGGGAUAACAGGCUGAUACCGCCCAAGAGUUCAUAUCGACGGCGGUGUUUGGCACCUCGAUGUCGGCUCAUCACAUCCUGGGGCUGAAGUAGGUCCCAAGGGUAUGGCUGUUCGCCAUUUAAAGUGGUACGCGAGCUGGGUUUAGAACGUCGUGAGACAGUUCGGUCCCUAUCUGCCGUGGGCGCUGGAGAACUGAGGGGGGCUGCUCCUAGUACGAGAGGACCGGAGUGGACGCAUCACUGGUGUUCGGGUUGUCAUGCCAAUGGCACUGCCCGGUAGCUAAAUGCGGAAGAGAUAAGUGCUGAAAGCAUCUAAGCACGAAACUUGCCCCGAGAUGAGUUCUCCCUGAGACUUUAGGUCUCCUGAAGGAACGUUGAAGACGACGACGUUGAUAGGCCGGGUGUGUAAGCGCAGCGAUGCGUUGAGCUAACCGGUACUAAUGAACCGUGAGGCUUAACCUUACA